rnacentral:rRNA from 1 species
CCCUUAGAUGUUCUGGGCUGCACGCGCGCUACACUGAUACUUUCAGCGAGUCCACCACCUUGCCUGAGAGGGUGGGGUAACCUCUGGAAAGUGUAUCGUGAUGGGGAUCGAUUAUUGUAAUUAUUAAUCUUCAACGAGGAAUUCCUAGUAAGCAUGUGUCAUCAGCCCGUGCUGAUUACGUCCCUGCCCUUUGUACACACCGCCCGUCGCUCCUACCGAUUGAAGUUUUCGGUGAGCUGGCAGGAGGAAUUUUUUGAAACUGGUUCGCUAGUGGAUUUUAGUUCCAAAUGCCAACGAAUUGAUGGCUUUAGAGGAAGGAGAAGUCGUAACA